AGCACGCUGCGCGCCGCCUGGCCAUUCCCCGUCACCCUUUUCCGUCGCCACGUCUCCGUUUCGAAAAGUGUUUCGUCCCCAAUCUCCUCCCCCUCUCUCGGACCCGUCGCGGCGCCGGCGAGCGAGAGAUCCCCGCCGAGAUUCCAGGCGCGACCCCCGCCGCGAUGGCGAGAAGGUGGCAGGUCUGGGGCCGGCCCGACGGCAGCCAAGUCUGGAUCCCCGCCCCCGACCCCGACGCGCCGCCGCCGCCGCCCGCCGCGGCCCCGCCUCUUCCUCCGCCGGGGCGCGCCGCGGGGACAGCCGCCGCUUCAUUUGAGGACGCGCAGGUCAAAGGCCGGGGCGCUGCUGACGGAUGCCGCGUCGAGUCCAUGGCCGACCUCCUCGUCCAAGCGCGGAACAAGCUGCUCGAAGGUGAUGGGAUGGCCGGAGCAACCGGGGAUGCAGGAAAAGGCGAGCUGUUCUGCACUGGAUCGGGGAGACCAGUGUCCCUCAGCGAGAGGGCUAUAAGGAAGGCCAGGGCGUUGGUCGGGGAGGAUGUGGAGAAGGCUGGUAUUAAGAGAAAGCAAUCAUUUGGCGAUGUACCUGAUGUAGAGGGCGGAUUGAGAGAAAUGGGCGCCCCAUUUAGAGGUGGAACCAUGCCCCCAUUGUUCCAAACUGGGUCAGGAAAAGCGGUCUUGCCGGGCAGGAACUCAAUCCAAAAGGCAAGAGCUAUUUUAGAAGAUGUUGAUAGUGCUGCUGGUGCCGCACAACCAAUGUUCCGUACUGGAAUGGGUAGGGCGGUUCCUGUGAACCGGACCCUUAUUGACAAGGCAAGAGCUGUUUUGGAGGGACAAACAGCUGUAGAACAAGGUCAUUAUGAUGAGAGUGUGGACGGCAUGGAACAGUUUCCAUUGUUCCAAACUGGUUCAGGAAGAGUUGUAUCAGUCAGUUCAGCAUCUGUUCAGAAAGCUAAGUCUGUGUUGAAGGAUAAUAAUACAAGCAAGGAAAAUACAGAGAGUUUUGGUAGGCCUGACCAUACAGAGAGUUUUGGUAGGCCUGACCAAACUGGUUCAAGAAGACCAGGCAUGAUCAGCGAAAGAUCCAUUGAGCGAUCUAUAGAUGCGGUGAAUGAGGGAGAUGCGGAAAAGAGUGGACAUUGGGAUACUGGUUGCCAGUUCCCAAUGUUCCAAACAGGAUUAGGGAAGCCUGUUGCUGUGAGCUGGAACUCAGUUCAGAAGGCAAGGGCAGUAUUGGAGGAAGAAAAAAUUAAAACAACUGGACAUGGAGAUAGCAGUGUUUGCGCCACAACUCUUCAAAGUGAAACGCCAAGGUCUGUUUUGAUGAGUAGCAGUUUGAUCAUGACUGAUAGAAGUGUUACACCGAAUGGAGAUAGUGCAGUGCAAGAGAAAAAUCACGAGGAUGGCAACCACUUGCCGUUGUUUCAAACCGGGUCAGGGAGGUCAAUUGCUAUAAGUAAGAGCUCAUUUAAGAGGGCAACUGCAGUUCUGGAGCCAAGGAAUAUUACAAAGGAAUUGGAAGAUGAAGCUCAUUUAGAUGCUGGCCAUGAUACUCCCAUGUUCAAAACUGGAUUAGGAAGGUCUAACUUAGCAAGUGAUGGCUGUAGAACUGAAUUGUGUAUCUUAGAAGCUGAAGAAGCAGUCAAAAGUGUAAACAAUUACAACAGAGAAGCCUUUGUUGAAGUGCCAGCGUUCCAAGCUGGGAUACAAACGUUUGUACCCCAAAACAGAAGUUCAAGUCAUAAGGCCAGUAUGCUUUUGGAGCAACGAAACUUCACGGAGAAAGGAUACAAAGACUCUGGAAGUCAACUGCCAAUGUUUCGAACCGGAUCUGGAAAGUCAGUCUUGAUUAGUGAAAGCUCAGUGCAGAAAGCAAAGGCUGUUCUGGAGGAAGAGGUCAAAAUAAACAGAGAUAAUCAUAAUCUCCUUAACAUGGACAAAAAUAUUCCUGUCUUUGCUUCACCUCUCAAGACAAGCUGUGCAAGAACAGUUAAUAUAUCUUCAGCUGGUGUAUCUCGAGCUGCUACUUUGUUGGGCUUGGAGGAGAAUACCCUUUCAACACAAUUUUUUGGACAUGUGGGCGAUAAGCUUGGCACGAAAAUAAAAUUUGAACGGAAAAAUCCAGAACAGAGGCUUGCAUCUGGUCCAACAGAAAACCAAGUGCGUAAGGAACCACACCGGCCAUUUGAACUUUCUAAUAACACAGUUUCUGAUUCUGGUGAACAUUCUAUCAGAUUCAGUACCGCGGGAGGCAGAUCAAUGGCUAUUUCUAGUGAUGCACUUCAACGUGCGAGAAGCCUUCUGGGUGAAUCAGAUCACGUGGUUUCAACAAAUAAUUUAGUAGGCCGCUCUUUGGCAUCUGCAUGUAAUGUUGAGAUGCCAAAUUCAACCGUCGCCCCAAAAGGUGGACCUGAUUUAUCAAAAAUAAGUAGGGUCAAUGGAAAAACCGAACUUACAACAUUUUCCCACCAGGCAAUGUCUGAUAGGAAGCACACUGGAUCCUUUGAAAAUGCUGUACCUGUUAUCCCGGCGACUAACAAACAACCCAAUAUGUUUCAUGUUGGGAGUCGUUCAAUCAGUGAAAUUCCAAAGAUCCCGAAGCCCUCUUCCAUGUGUUUAUCUGAAACUGACAAUGCAAAUGACACUAAAGAUAAGACCCAGCGACUCCAUAUGCCAGCUGGAGCGUUGGUUGACAUUAGUAACUUCACGGGCACACAUUCUGGAAAUAUUGACCAUGCUGUUAAUGAGAAGAGAAGAAUUGAGGGAAGAAACACUGCAUCUUCCUUUAAACGCCCCCGCUCUUCCAGAUAGAUCCUUUGAUUUGCAUCCCUGUUAGCAGGCUGUAAACUCCUUGAUGCCAUGCUUUUGCUAUGCCCUUGCUGUCAAUGUGAGUUUGACACUGCAUGUGUUGUUUUGCAUGCUGGCGACGUUCAUUUAUGCAGCAGCAAGGCAGUGGAUCUUUUUUUUCAGACGGAUCUAAAAGGAAGAUGAUUGUCUUCUAGCAGUAAGCUUUUCUUGCCCAACUGCCGGCGAUGACUGCUUUUUAACCGUUACGCCCUUUCUGGAAAUAGAGAAGGUUAUCUCUCUCUUAAGGAAGCUUACCAUGGAAUAAUGGGUGCUGCUGUUUCUGGAAGCAAUGUAAGAAAAUGUUGGAAGUUCUGCAGAGUUUACUGUCCUCACUGGAUGCUCACUGGUAGUUGUUGAAAUAUGUAUUGUAUAGGGUGUUAUAGCAUGCGCUUGAGUUCGUAUCCUGAUCCGGUUAAGUUAGGCUUGAUCUCCUCUGUACAGGCUGUAGUAAACGUCGAGAUCAAAGCCCAUAACGACUGGUUCGUAACUUCUGUAAUCUCCUGGCCUUGAACCUUUUUAUAACGUGCAUGCAUCCUUGCUGAUAGCAUACACUUCCACCUAGUUUUACAUGGUAAUCAGAGCCCUUUCUCUUCAA